CCCUCCCACUUCGGGGGAUACCCCCGUUGAAAGACCGGCCUAAUACCCCGAUGUUGUCCCACAGAUGGCAUCUGACGUGGACCAAAGAUUCAUCGGUGGAGGAUGGGGAUGCGUCUGAUUAGCUUGUUGGUGCGGGUAACGGCCCACCAAGGCUACGAUCAGUAGGGGUUCUGAGAGGAAGGUCCCCCACAUUGGAACUGAGACACGGUCCAAACUCCUACGGGAGGCAGCAGUGAGGAAUAUUGGUCAAUGGACGUAAGUCUGAACCAGCCAAGUAGCGUGCAGGAUUGACGGCCCUAUGGGUUGUAAACUGCUUUUGUUGGGGAGUAAAAGCGGGG
rnacentral:rRNA from 1 species